GGGUUAGUAGGUCGGUCGUGCCAUUGGUAUGAACUGGUCUCGCUGAUCCCUCCCUUUUGACGAACUGUGAUGCCAUUAAUUUGGUGUCGCAGGGAAUCAGGACUGUUACUUUGAAAAAAUUAGAGUGUUUAAAGCAAGCUAACGCUUGAAUACAUUAGCAUGGAAUAAUGAAAUAGGACGUUCGAUCCUAUUUUGUUGGUUUCUAGGAUCGACGUA
rnacentral:rRNA from 1 species